rnacentral:rRNA from 1 species
GAACCUGGCGGCGUGCCUAAUACAUGCAAGUCGAGCGGAUUUGUCCUUCGGGAUAGGUUAGCGGCGGACGGGUGAGUAACACGUGGGUAACCUGCCUGUAAGACCGGGAUAACUAUCGGAAACGAUAGCUAAGACCGGAUAGCUGGUUCUCUCGCAUGAGAGAAUAUGAAACACGGAGCAAUCUGUGGCUUAUAGAUGGGCCUGCGGCGCAUUAGCUAGUUGGUGAGGUAACGGCUCACCAAGGCGACGAUGCGUAGCCGACCUGAGAGGGUGAACGGCCACACUGGGACUGAGACACGGCCCAGACUCCUACGGGAGGCAGCAGUAGGGAAUCUUCCGCAAUGGACGCAAGUCUGACGGAGCAACGCCGCGUGAGUGAUGAAGGUUUUCGGAUCGUAAAGCUCUGUUGCCCUAGACGAACAGCAGAGAGAGUAACUGCUCUCUGUGUGACGGUAUAGGAGAAGAAAGCCCCGGCUAACUACCUUGCCAGCAGCCCGCGGUAAUACGUAGGGGGCAAGCGUUGUCCGGAAUUAUUGGGCGUAAAGCGCGCGCAGGCGGUUGGUUAAGUCUGAUGUUUAAGCCCGGGGCUCAACCCCGGUCGCAUCGGAAACUGGCUGACUUGAAUGUAGGAGAGGAAAGUGGAAUUCACUUGUACCGGUGAAAUGCGUA